GAGUUCAAUCCUGGCUCAGGAUGAAUUCUGGCGGCACGAUUAACACAUGCAAUUCGGAUGGAAAUGGUGUUUCUAAUGGAGGACGAGAGAGUAACGCGUAAGAACCUACCCUUAGGAGGGGAAUAACAACUGGAAAUGACUACUAAUACCCCGUAGGUUGAGGAGCAAAAAGAGGAAUCCGCUGGAGGAGGGGCUUGCGUCUGAUUAGCUAGUUGGUGUGGCAAUAGAUUACCAAGGCGAUGAUCAGUAGCAGGUCCGAGAGGAUGAUCAGCUACACUGGGACUGAGACACGGCCCAGACUCCUACAGGAGGCAGUAGUAGGGAAUUCUUCACAAUGGGCGAGAGCCUGAUAGAGCAAUGCCGCGUUGAGGUAGAAAGCCCACGGGUCGUGAACUUUUUAUCUUAGAGAAUAAUAAAUAAAGGUAUCUGGGGAAUAAGCAUUGGCUAACACUGUGCCAGCAGCCGCAACAAUACAGAGGAUGCAAGCGUUAUACGGAAUGAUUGGAUGUAAAGCGUCUGUACGUGGCUUUAUAAGUCCGUCGUCAAAUCCCAGGGCUCAUUCCUGGACAGGCGGUGGAAACUACCAUAUAGGGAAUUUCUGGUGGAGUGGUGAAAUGCGUAGAGAUCAAAAAUAACACCAACGGAAAAAGUACUCUGCUGGGCCGACACUGACAUUGAGAGACGAAAGCUAGGGGAGCAAAUGGGAUUAGAUACCCAAGUAGUCCUAGCGGUAAUUGAUGUAUAGUAGGUGCUGUGCGUAUCGACCCAUGCAUUUUUGUAGCUAACACGUUAAGUAUCCCGCC
rnacentral:ncRNA from 1 species